rnacentral:rRNA from 1 species
GACGAACGCUGGCGGCGUGGAUUAGGCAUGCAAGUCGAACGGUAUGGACCUUUCGGGGUUCAGAGAGUGGCGAACGGGUGAGUAACACGUAGGUGAUCUACCCUCAAGACGGGGACAACCCAGGGAAACUUGGGCUAAUACCGGAUGAAAGCAGCAGCAAUGUUGUUUAAAAAGAUGGCUUUCGGGCUGUCGUUUGGGGAUGAGCCUGCGCUCUAUUAGCUAGUUGGUGAGGUAAUUGCUUACCAAGGCGAUGAUAGAUAGGCGGCCUUAACGGGUGGUCGCCCACACUGGGAUUGAGAUACGGCCCAGACUCCUACGGGAGGCAGCAGUCGAGAAUAGUCUACAAUGGUCGAAAGACUGAUAGUGCGACGCCGCGUGAACGAAGAAGCCCUUCGGGGUGUAAAGUCUUUUAUAUGUGAGCAGUGGGUUCUAUGUGAACAGCAUGGGAUCAGAGAUAUUAGCAUAUGAAUAAGCAACGGCUAACUCCGUGCCAG